CUAGAGUAUACAGUGUGUACUAUAUACAAAUUGAGUAUACUGUAUGAAGAUAAGGAUAAGAGAGUGAGGCCUGGUGUUAACUUUGCGUUCACAGUUCACUGUAAGCUAGUGGAGAGUAAAGACGCUUUCUUAACUAGGCUGCGGUGGAAUUUUGAUGCUGAACAGUACUGCUCGGCAAAGGAGGAUUUUCAUUUGAAUGACGGUUAUGGUGCAAACCUUUGUAUGCCAAGCAGAGGCGUGUUGCGGUGAUGUGGUACGGGUAGUAGUCAACUGCGAAGUUCCCGGAGAGUGCCAACAGGCAUCACAGCGCUUGCAUAGCUACAAUGACUUAGGAGGUUGUGAGUGGAGCUGUCAACACUACAAAAUGGAGUGCAAAGUGGAGAAAUCUGGACACUUCCAACAAUAUUCUUCUGUUUGAGUUCAAUUGAGGGGUGUCAGCAGUGGAGGAAACCAGAAACAUUUGUACCCUGAAUGGAGAUAGUGUCACUGGACAGAGCACGGCAAGAAAAUGGUUUCCUCAUUUUAAGGAGGAUCAGUUUGACAACAGUGACUCCAUGUUCAGGAAGACCUUCACGAUUUGAUGAAGGCCAUUUAAACACAAUAAUCCACAAUGAUCCACAUCAGAGUACUCAAGAACUGGCAACUGUGAUCAUUAUUGUGAUCAUCCAACAUUUGCAUGCAAUGGGGAAGGUUCAAAAAGCUGUAUGGGUAAAUAUGCUCUAAGC